GGAUUUUGACAUUAUACAAGAUACUACUCAAGGGAUCUAUGUGUUCACAGUCAUGAAAAUCAUAUAUCAAUCACAGUGAGUUGGGAUACUCAUUUUAGAGGCUUCAAAUUAGACGAUGGAACGUCGUCAUUAUCAGCAUGCACUGGUUUCAAGGAAUUCCUUUUUGUGUCACAAAAUCGUUACCAUGGUUACUGUCUUUAUCAUCAUAUCAGUCAAUCUGAGACAAACUGUUGUCGCUGAUGAGGUAUUCCGUCUCGGGAAUGAUGCAAUUAUCGAAUUUUCGUAUUUAUUUACUGAUGAUUAUAAACACUGUUGGGAGAUCUUUAGAGUGGGCAUCAGUGAUCCGUUCAAUAUCAAUGGAACUAUGAAACCAGAUGCUCUGAAUCCCUCACAAAGAGAGCGAUUUACUGUUAGCGCUAUGUGGGGGACAGAUUAUUUGGGUGCUCAUCUGCAUAUUCGCAACAUCACGAAAUUAGACAGAGGUGUAUAUAUAUGGGCUGUGAAGAGCCAUGGGAGUGGAGUAGAACCCUCGGUCUCAACAUUUGAUGUAUUUGUAGAUGUUAUAGUACCACCGGGAAGAGCACGAUGUGUAAUACGUCUAUCAGUUUAUUCAUCUAACUGGCGUGAAGUUCAUUGCGUCGCAACAGUAGAAAGUGAUAGAUAUGAUGGAGGGGUACAGCUCGUCUGUUACCAGGAUAGCGAGAAGGCAACAUUUCAGAGUGCACCUCUUGAAACAUCAACCCAUGUGAAGGGUGUAUUUUGGAUGAAUGCAAAGCAAGCUAUUAGGUGCUGUUCGCAUGAAGGUAACUUCGUGAAGGUUCCAGGAGAUUGCAAUGACUUUAUAAAAGACGCCCUCAUUCAUGUCAUUGAACCUGAUGUUAGACGAUCGACGACAAGAGUACCGCUCUCAACAACUUUCAACUUCGUAAUUGAUCGUGAAAAAACUUGGUCUGUGUCACCCAAUGAGAAUGAAAUUACCAGUUACUCUGCUACAUCUAAAGUAGAAACUGAUUCCUCCAAUCAAUGCGUUUGUCCAAAAAAUAUUCCAAAAUAUUCUUUCUACAUACCCUUGAUCAUGUUGAUAGUGACAUUUAUUUUAUUAAUAAUUUCCUUCGUUUUUAAUAUGAAAUUCGUGUUAAAAAAUAAAAAUAAAACGGGACUCGAGCACAACAAAAUUAACAAGUGAACCAACCGACGUGAUGCUGAAGGUAUAUUCCACCAUACGACUACGUAUAGUUUUUCCAGAACCCUAUAUUAACUAUUAUUUCGUAAUGGAAUGAGCUAUCAGGAACAGAACAGUGUUCAAUCUCCCCGAAACCUUUAACGGCCAUUUUCUUCUAUUCUGCAGCUUUCAAAUAACCUACUGUACGCUGCGCAUGCUGAUAUUAUAUGGCAUUCCGGGUAUGGCAUCCGUCAUCCGUUCUUCUGCUGCCAUGGCUGCCCUAAGAAUGUUUUCAUCAACAUUUGAGCUUCAUUCUAUUUCAGUGACUAUAGUACUACAUUCUACCUUCAUGGCCUGAGAAACAAAAAAAGCUUGAUAUAGCUGCGCUAUCUUGGAGUUUACAAAAUGGCUACCGCAAAUACGCUUUCAAUUAGCCUACGUUGCACAUGCUGAUAUUAUAUGGCAUUCCGGGUAUGGCAUCCGUCAUCCGUUCUUCUGCUGCCUUAUAUAAGAAUGAUUUUAUCAACAUUUGAGCUUCAUUCUAUUUCAGUGACUAUAGUACUACAUUCUACCUUCAUGGCCUGAGAAACAGAAAAAGCUUGAUAUAGCUGCGCUAUCUUGGAGUUUACAAAAUGGCUACCGCAAAUACGGUUUCCUUAUUCAACCGCCUCUCAUUAGCAUGGUGAUCGUGGUGAUAAGAUUUUUUCAGCCAAAGUUCCCCUUCGUUACCUCUUUCAUCAAAACAGUGGAAUGUCUUUAGAAGAGACGACUUGAAAAUGAACCUUUAACAAGUAAUAACCUUUUCAUCAAAGAGAACACUAACCAACAACGCAAGUCUUGCUCUCACGAAUCACACUCCUAAAUAAUGUCUUAUUUAUUUUAGGGCCUAUACAUUUAUGGUGAAAUCUAUAAUCCUUUCCACGUAUCCCGGUAUAGCAAUUUAUUUAGAAACAAGUUGCGGUGUAUUUUAUUUAUUUUUAUGAAUAAAAAAAUCAAAGAAAUUAUAAAAUUAAGAAAUUGAAGAGAUGUAAAGCACGACGAAUUCGUUUUUAUCACUUUCUUCUUUGAAAAUCGGCAUCAUAAUAUUUGUGCCCACCAAUUUUUUCAAACUUUAUGUAAAUGGACAGUGCAUGGUUUUCAAUAAAACUGACAACUCAUAGAAAAGAUCGAAUCCUUAUAACAAAUGUCCGAAUAUAAAUAUCCCCAUUUUGUAAAUAUCUAAAUCGCCAGGACUUUCACAAAGUAUAAUCUGUUUAUGGGACAGAUUUUUUCAUUCUUUCUGAGUGCAAAUCUGAUAAUAAAACUGAUUUUCUG